CAAGCGGAAACCGAAAAGCUUGAUACAAUAGAGUAGGUA
rfam:Marine bacterium AO1-C Bin2_contig__2_len_1495235_cov_100.329_ID_3, whole genome shotgun sequence.